rnacentral:rRNA from 1 species
UGGCGAAAGGGGCAGUAAUGUUUGGGUACCUACCUUGGGGUCUGGGAUAGCCUUCCUAACGGAAGGGUAAAACCGGGCGAUUUGGGAAACCAAGAAAGGCAACGCCUCAUGAGGGGCCCAAAUGGUAUUAGCUAGUUGGUGAGGUAACGGCUCACCAAGGCGAUGAUGCCUAGCGGGUGUGAGAGCACGACCCGCGCCAUUGGCACUGAGACACUGGCCAGACUCCUACGGGAGGCUGCAGUCGAGGAUCUUCGGCAAUGGGCGAAAGCCUGACCGAGCGACGCCGCGUGUGCGAUGAAGGCCUUUUGGUUGUAAAGCACUGUCGAAGGGGAGCAAGCCGCAAGAUUGAGAGUACCCUUGGAGGAAGCACGGGCUAAGUUCGUGCCAGCAGCCGCGGUAAGACGAACCGUGCGAACGUUAUUCGGAAUCACUGGGCUUAAAGGGUGCGUAGGCGGGUGGACAAGUCGAGGGUGAAAGCCUCUAGCUUAACUAGAGAAGUGCCCUCGAUAC